rnacentral:rRNA from 1 species
GUAGUCGAUGGGAAACAGGUUAAUAUUCCUGUACUUGGUGUUACUGCGAAGGGGGGACGGAGAAGGCUAUGUUGGCCGGGCGACGGUUGUCCCGGUUUAAGCGUGUAGGCUGGUUUUCCAGGCAAAUCCGGAAAACCAAGGCUGAGGCGUGAUGACGAGGCACUACGGUGCUGAAGUGACAAAUGCCCUGCUUCCAGGAAAAGCCUCUAAGCAUCAGGUAACAUCAAAUCGUACCCCAAACCGACACAGGUGGUCAGGUAGAGAAUACCAAGGCGCUUGAGAGAACUCGGGUGAAGGAACUAGGCAAAAUGGUGCCGUAACUUCGGGAGAAGGCACGCUGAUAUGUAGGUGAAGCGACUUGCUCGUGGAGCUGAAAUCAGUCGAAGAUACCAGCUGGCUGCAACUGUUUAUUAAAAACACAGCACUGUGCAAACACGAAAGUGGACGUAUACGGUGUGACGCCUGCCCGGUGCCGGAAGGUUAAUUGAUGGGGUUAGCGGUAACGCGAAGCUCUUGAUCGAAGCCCCGGUAAACGGCGGCCGUAACUAUAACGGUCCUAAGGUAGCGAAAUUCCUUGUCGGGUAAGUUCCGACCUGCACGAAUGGCGUAAUGAUGGCCAGGCUGUCUCCACCCGAGACUCAGUGAAAUUGAACUCGCUGUGAAGAUGCAGUGUACCCGCGGCAAGACGGAAAGACCCCGUGAACCUUUACUAUAGCUUGACACUGAACAUUGAGCCUUGAUGUGUAGGAUAGGUGGGAGGCUUUGAAGUGUGGACGCCAGUCUGCAUGGAGCCGACCUUGAAAUACCACCCUUUAAUGUUUGAUGUUCUAACGUUGGCCCGUAAUCCGGGUUGCGGACAGUGUCUGGUGGGUAGUUUGACUGGGGCGGUCUCCUCCUAAAGAGUAACGGAGGAGCACGAAGGUUGGCUAAUCCUGGUCGGACAUCAGGAGGUUAGUGCAAUGGCAUAAGCCAGCUUGACUGCGAGCGUGACGGCGCGAGCAGGUGCGAAAGCAGGUCAUAGUGAUCCGGUGGUUCUGAAUGGAAGGGCCAUCGCUCAACGGAUAAAAGGUACUCCGGGGAUAACAGGCUGAUACCGCCCAAGAGUUCAUAUCGACGGCGGUGUUUGGCACCUCGAUGUCGGCUCAUCACAUCCUGGGGCUGAAGUAGGUCCCAAGGGUAUGGCUGUUCGCCAUUUAAAGUGGUACGCGAGCUGGGUUUAGAACGUCGUGAGACAGUUCGGUCCCUAUCUGCCGUGGGCGCUGGAGAACUGAGGGGGGCUGCUCCUAGUACGAGAGGACCGGAGUGGACGCAUCACUGGUGUUCGGGUUGUCAUGCCAAUGGCACUGCCCGGUAGCUAAAUGCGGAAGAGAUAAGUGCUGAAAGCAUCUAAGCACGAAACUUGC